rnacentral:rRNA from 1 species
AGCGCAGGCGGGAGAACAAGUUGGAAGUGAAAUCCAUGGGCUCAACCCAUGAACUGCUUUCAAAACUGUUUUUCUUGAGUAGUGCAGAGGUAGGCGGAAUUCCCGGUGUAGCGGUGGAAUGCGUAGAUAUAUGGAAGAACACCAGUGGCGAAGGCGGCUGUCUGGUCUGUAACUGACGCUGAGGCUCGAAAGCAUGGGUAGCAAACA